AGCCAAUUGCUGCCUUCCUAUUUCCCUUUCUUCUUGAGUGGCAUGGCCCCCUCAAGCCAGGGAGGAGCCUGCUGGGAAAAGUGGAGAGGUGUCAGGGAGAGGGGAGUAAGGGAAGAUGUCUACUCUUCAAACUCCCUCUUCUUCCUUAAGUGGCUGGGACCCUGUAUUAGGAAGAAAAAAUUAAAAAAACCCUUCCAAUUACUUCAGUUCAUCAAAGUUGCAAUCUGUUGGAUGACAUUCCCACCCUGGAUUAUUGACUGAGCUGUCUUGAAAGGCAACAAGGAGACAUUAGUGAGAAGUUGCAGAUGUGAUGGUGAUGAUAAAUCCCUGACAAGAGGCUCCAUGUGAUUGACAAGAUGUGAUGGACCAGCUUUUCUCACACCCCAGGGUCUUCCUCCCCACCUCUUUUAAAACCCUUCCUGCCACAAAGCCUGGUUCUUCUGCGGGAAGGAUGGCAUGUGCUAGCUCUGUUCCUCGCUUUAACUCUGCCAUUCAGCAAUCCUAAAUGAGAAUGGACCCUCUCUGGGAAUACAGGUGACAGCUAUAUGAAGGCCUAACCAAUUCCCUCUCAGGCGUGCCAUUAAAAUGAACACCCUGGCUGAAUUCCAGUGACAGGACACUUACUGUGGGAAUGAUUCACCCACGUGAGGAAUAAAACUGGGUGAAACCUCUGCAGACUCUCUGAGAGGGGCUCCACAGAGAAGCUAAACUGCCAUUUAUAAAGAGAGGCUGUCGGGGACUUCUCGAGGGCUCUGAAUUUUGGCUCUCUGCCUUCUGUGGCCGAGUCUAAUUUUGGAGUGUGUAACAAACACUCUCUUUCCCGCCGUGGAUUUUGCCUUCACUGCACACAUGUGAAUUUUUGCCCAUUCCUGGGACUAUGGUGUAUGUUACUGGGUGCCUCUAGAAAACCAAGUCAAGCCAAGAGCCAUGGAGUUCUCUACAAUCAAGACCAUUAAUUCUUUUUGUGUGU